rnacentral:misc_RNA from 1 species
GACGAAUCGACUCGGUGGCAUAUGCAAGUAUCUGCCGACGCGUUGAGAUUUCUCUCGUUGUUACUGGAACUGUUCGUGUUCAUUGGAGACGCUAACUUGACUCGCUAUUUAUCCAUGAUCAAAUGAAGAUCGAGUGCUUCCAGAAUCCAGUAUUUCGCCAUACCGCUUUCUCGUUUCGGAGCUGUGGGCUAUGCCUGGUGGCGUGCGCAAUCAGCUACUGAUGCGCUGAGGUCGCUUCCUCUGCUGGUGACAGCACUGGGGCGUCUGGGGGACUCUGGAAAACGACUUCUCUGUUCGUGAUAGGGAUGGUGUGCGCUUCGCCCGUAGCAAAAAAAAGGAGCGGAACUCCUUGUCGUUCUCAGUCUGCCAUACGUCCAGGCGGCCUGUUAUCCACCGCUCGAGCUGAAUCGCUUAUCGUAGACGCGCACGAACGAGACCCUGGGUUGCAUCGAGGCUUCCAUGGGGUUCUCCCAUGUCAUCGAAUGAAACACCUGGUUCUUGGGACCGGCAUGGCAACAGCAGGUAGCUUACCGCUUGGCUUGGGGCGCACCUGGAUUUUCCGUAACAUUGAGGGUCCUCUUUGCAACACUCUGAACUACGUCAGCAGGAACCGCUCAGCGGAUACGUCAUACCCCGACGGCAAAACCGCGUGCCGCCCUGAGCGAUGAGGGUAGCGUUCUGGCAGCGUGCAUGGUGCGCAUCAGCGUUGUCCGGGCCCUGUGAUGAUCCACAACAUGUCGACGGAGCGCCAAGAAUUGCGACCCUCUAACCGAAACACGUUCUUUGCCUCGACACCCGUGCAGGUGUCGCGCGAAUCCCGGGUGUCUCGCAAUACAAAACAAGUAACCGAGACUAGUGGCUGCGUUUUACUGUCGCAGCAUCGUCGUAGUCGGAGGCCUCGCCAUUUCUGGUCAGCGUCUCUGGCAAAAAAAAUAAGGAGAGCAUUCUCGUCAAGCGAUUUUCCAUACCAACAACUUGUGAUCGCCAUCGAGAAUAUCUGCACGAGGGAGGUUCCGAUUCAAGGACACGUGCACGACGGCACGUGUCGUGCAGCGCGACGCCUCGGAUUCGUUUCGUUCCGAAACGCCUCGUCUAACGCGUAUACCUCGCUACGCUGCAAGGUUCAAGUGAGCUGCGCUCAGUCGAAGAGCAUUCAUGAAUAGGCUGUACACAUGUGGUAUCGAACGUCGUUCAUGAUAGGAACGAACGCGGUGCGAUUCGUGCGUGACACAGACAGGAGGUGGCGAAACGGACGCUCGCAUGCACGUCGCUGCACUCAUGUCGGCAUGUCAUGGACGAGGCACACGCACCUAUUUUGGGUGUUCACCCAACACAACUAGGGCUGGUUAUCUCGGCCGCCAAUGCAAGCCAUUCAGGGCUUGUCUAGGGCAGGUUUUGUUUCCUCUCUCGUGUCUCCCGUUUUCAAGACACCGGUUGCACAUGUACCUCGAGCUCCGUUUGAACCAGCAGGCGAGGUUGACGGCAGCGUUCACGUCCCUAUUUCGCAGCUUCUGGCUAGUAUUGUACCGUUUGAUGCUUAGCAGGCAAGUCGUGAUCCGCCCCUCUUUUGCCUUUUCAUCUGCUUUGUAUACAGGGUCAGUGCGCCCUUCGUAAGAGUGGCACAUGGAGGUGGUCAGGUGUUUGCGAGUAUGCAUCGUAACGAAACCUACUCCUUCUGCGAGGGUCAUCCAUGGACGCUUUGUGCUUCGUAUAUCGCUUGGCAUAUGCCCUUGACGGGUAUAGAGGGCUCUCUUCGAUGUCCGCGUCGGUUUCGACGCCCGGUACCGAGCCCAACGAUCACGAGCAUCUUUCUGGUGAUCCGCUCAGCGAGCACGCUGUCUGCUGCAUGCGCAAGAGCUCGCUCUUCCAUCGGAGAGGGGUUUUGUGGGACACGAUAUUACCCGUGAUGAAAAAAGUACCGAAAUGAGAUUCCAGGCUUGAGAGAAAAUCGACAAACGUCAAUCCGAGUUGCCCCUUUCCUGUGUAGCGGUCAGGCAAUGCGCACUGGAAGCGAUCGUUGCGAUGAAUCAAGCCCUGAGUCCAAGACUCUAUUCCACGCAAACAAAAGCGACGGAAGCCGUUGGCAGCGCAUCCCCCGAAAGGCUUCGUGUCACUGUCGAAUGUCGUUGUGCCGUUGGCGACCCAGAGAGGAGCGUUUGCCUUUCGCGCAGAUUCGAUUAUCUGGCUUGACGUGUCGAGUGAACGUUCUGCAUGAGCGUGGAAUCGUAAAGAGAUCUGGUCGAGGUUUUCCCUCGUCAACCCAGAUGUACGUACGGGAUGCAGAAGCAUGAAGGCUGGUGCGCUUGUGUUCGAUCAUGACAUUGGGUAUUUUACAAACCCUCGCUUGAGGUUGUCGCCAAUCAUCUUGAUUUCCGAGGCGGAAAGCAUACCAGUCGCAAGCGUGGAAGACGCUACCCCGUCAAGACCGAUAUGAAUCCUCAAACUUCGCAUGAAUGCAUACGCCGUUACUGCUGCACUUCGAACGUCGACCCCGUGCAUCUAAGAAAACGUGCGCGGAGAAAGAUAGCAAGGUAGGAACAGCGAGAGCAGGACAGCGUGCCGUGUGAAUCGAACCUGGGUGCAGUGGCUGCCACCUCCAGCGGAUGCAGCUGCUGGUGAAGCGAGCUUCCGCAGGGACGUGUAACGCGCGUGCAACGCCUGACAUGCGUCGUCGAGACACCCGCAGCGUCCGACCGAACCAAUAUUUGGUGCUUUUCGGCUGUACGGUGCUUGCCGACGCCUAGCAAUCGCAUCAUUCGCGCUUGUUGCGGCCUCUUUCUCUGGCAUGGCAUGGAACGGAAGCAGGUCAAACUCCGAUCUACGCUGCUGCUUUUAACAGGAUUCAAAAAAAUGGUCAUCCAAACGACGGACGCGCACCCGAUUCAAGGUCACCGACCCGUUCGCUAUCCCCUCGGCACCGUAAAAGCUUCCAU